GACCACCCAUGUUAGCUGACAUGGGUCGUGUCAGCCCACCUGAGAGGAAGCUGAAGAUGAAGGCCAAGGAAGGGGCCUGACACAACCACCCGUGUCAGCCCAGGCGCUAAUUUUCCCAAUUUUUGGGCAUUUAUCCGGGCUUGAGCAGCAAGGGCAUUUUGGGGUUUUCCAACCAAUUCUAAGGGAUUUUCACUAUUUUAGAAGAGUUUCUACGAGAGAAGG
rnacentral:lncRNA from 1 species